GACAGAGGUGGCCGAGCGUUAGGCGGAAUCACUGGGGCUUAAAGCGUGUGUAGGUGGAUGUCUAAGUACCUUAGUGGAAACUCCCACGGCUUAACCGUGGAACGGCUCGGUAUACUGGAUGGUCUUGAGCCAGCUAGGGGCUACCGGAACAAAUGGUGGAGCGGUGAAAUGCGUAGAUAUCAUUGGAACGCCAAUGGUGAAAACAGGUAGCUGGGGCUGUGCUGACACUGAAGACACGGAAAGCCAGGGGAGCGAACGGG
rnacentral:rRNA from 1 species